UACGUAGGGGGGCAAGCGUUGUCCGGAUUUAUUGGGCGUAAAGAGCGUGUAGGCGGUUUGGUAGGUCCGUUGUGAAAACUCGAGGCUCAACCUCGAGACGCCGAUGGAAACCAUCAGACUAGAAUCCGGAAGAGGAGAGUGGAAUUCCUGGUGUAGCGGUGAAAUGACGCAGAUAUCAGGAAGAACACCCGUGGCUAAGGCGGCUCUCUAGUACGGUACUGACGCUGAAGACGCGAAAGCGUGGGGAGC
rnacentral:rRNA from 1 species